rnacentral:rRNA from 1 species
GAUGAACGCUGGCGGCGUGCCUAAUACAUGCAAGUCGAGCGAACAGACGAGGAGCUUGCUCCUCUGACGUUAGCGGCGGACGGGUGAGUAACACGUGGAUAACCUACCUAUAAGACUGGGAUAACUUCGGGAAACCGGAGCUAAUACCGGAUAAUAUAUUGAACCGCAUGGUUCAAUAGUGAAGGACGGUUUUGCUGUCACUUAUAGAUGGAUCCGCGCCGCAUUAGCUAGUUGGUAAGGUAACGGCUUACCAAGGCAACGAUGCGUAGCCGACCUGAGAGGGUGAUCGGCCACACUGGAACUGAGACACGGUCCAGACUCCUACGGGAGGCAGCAGUAGGGAAUCUUCCGCAAUGGGCGAAAGCCUGACGGAGCAACGCCGCGUGAGUGAUGAAGGUCUUCGGAUCGUAAAACUCUGUUAUUAGGGAAGAAGAAAUGUGUAAGUAACUAUGCACGUCUUGACGGUACCUAAUCAGAAAGCCACGGCUAACUACGUG